rnacentral:lncRNA from 1 species
CCCAGGCUCCUUUCUCACCUGGCUCCCUGCUAGAUCUUGCCAAUGGGAGGCAUGGGGGAAUGGCCAGCAAGAGGAGGGCCCAACUCCUGUAGGACACCCCUCCAGCAGCUGCAGAAAGCUGGCCCUUGGGCACCCCUGCUGUGACUUGACUGAGGUUGCCAGAUGCCCCAAGCAGGACUCUGUCUCCCCUCCCUGAGGGCUAUGCCUGAGCCACAGCAGGCACCUGCCGGGAAGGUUCUGGUAACAUCGCCUCUUCCCUUUUGUUGUCUUGGUCCCA